rnacentral:miRNA from 1 species
UGAGAACCAUGUCUGAUCAGAG